rnacentral:rRNA from 1 species
GAUCCUGGCUCAGAACGAACGCUGGCGGCAUGGAUUAGGCAUGCAAGUCGAACGGUGCAGCAAUGCAUAGUGGCGCAAGGGUGAGGAACGCGUGAGUAACCUGCCCUCAAGUUGGGAACAGCUUCUGGAAACGGAAAUUAAUACCGAAUGUGACCAUAGGAAGGCAUCUUCUGUUGGUUAAAGGCCGCAAGGUCGCUUGAGGAGGGGCUCGCGUCCCAUUAUGCUAGUUGGUGAGGUAACGGCCCACCAAGGCGAAGAUGGGUAGCUGGUCUGAGAGGACGAUCAGCCACACUGGGACUGAGAACUGCCCAGACUCCUACGGGAGGCUGCAGUCGAGAAUUUUGGGCAAUGGACGAAAGUCUGACCCAAGCAAUGCCGCGUGCGGGAUGAAGGUCUUCGGAUUGUAAACCGCUGUCAAGUGGGACGAAACAAAUGACGGUACCGCUGAAGGAAGUCACGGCUAACUACGUGCCAGCAGCGGC